CAGGGAAGAGAAGGAGGCCAGUUACUGAUGCGGAUGCAACACCGCCUCCGGCAAAAGUUCGCAGAAUGGGACCAGUCUCGUCACCAAUACCAAAGACUAUGCCUGAAGGUAAUGGUGAAGUGCCGGAAGAGCCACUGGAAUCAGACGAAAAUGUUACAACAGGUAAGGAUGACAGUAUGAAACUCAGUUUGCAUUUUUAAUUAUCGUUCGAGGUUUCCAUUCGGGUUCGCCCAUAUAUCUUUUGUUAAUUUUAUUCCAAAGAGUUCUUCUGGGAAUGUUGUACACUUCGGCAGCUGUCUGUAUUGAAAUGUUUUCAUUUCGAACUGCAUUGAUUGCUCCGAUUAGUGUUUUUUUCUGUAUAAUUACUAUAUUUCCUUGCAUACAUCUUCUUUUUGUAUAGACGACCCAUAA